rnacentral:rRNA from 1 species
AUUGAACGCUGGCGGCAUGCUUUACACAUGCAAGUCGAACGGCAGCGCGGGCUUCGGCCUGGCGGCGAGUGGCGAACGGGUGAGUAAUGCAUCGGAACGUGCCCAGUAGUGGGGGAUAGCCCGGCGAAAGCCGGAUUAAUACCGCAUACGACCUGAGGGUGAAAGCGGGGGACCGAAAGGCCUCGCGCUAUUGGAGCGGCCUAUGUCGGAUUUGCUAGUUGGUGGGGUAAAGGCUUACCAAGGCGACGAUCCGUAGCUGGUCUGAGAGGACGACCAGCCACACUGGGACUGAGACACGGCCCAGACUCCUACGGGAGGCAGCAGUGGGGAAUUUUGGACAAUGGGGGCAACCCUGAUCCAGCCAUGCCGCGUGCGGGAAGAAGGCCUUCGGGUUGUAAACCGCUUUUGUUCGGGAAGAAAUACUCUGGGCUAAUACCCCGGGGGGAUGACGGUACCGGAAGAAUAAGCACCGGCUAACUACGUG